GUGGGGAAUAUUGGACAAUGGGCGAAAGCCUGAUCCAGCCAUGCCGCGUGUGUGAAGAAGGUCUUCGGAUUGUAAAGCACUUUAAGUUGGGAGGAAGGGCAGUAAGUUAAUACCUUGCUGUUUUGACGUUACCGACAGAAUAAGCACCGGCUAACUUCGUGCCAGCAGCCGCGGUAAUACGAAGGGUGCAAGCGUUAAUCGGAAUUACUGGGCGUAAAGCGCGCGUAGGUGGUUUUGUAAGUUGGAGGUGAAAUCCCCGGGCUCAACCUGGGAACUGCCUCCAAAACUACUGGGCUAGAGUACGGUAGAGGGUAGUGGAAUUUCCUGUGUAGCGGUAAAAUGCGUAGAUAUAGGAAGGAACACCAGUGGCGAAGGCGACUACCUGGACUGAUACUGACACUGAGGUGCGAAAGCGUGGGGAGCAAACAGGAUUAGAAACCCCAGUAGUCC
rnacentral:rRNA from 1 species